rnacentral:rRNA from 1 species
UACGUAGGGGGCAAGCGUUAUCCGGAAUUAUUGGGCGUAAGGCGUCCGCAGGUGGCUCAUCAAGUCUGCUGUCAAAGGCAGGGGCUUAACCCCUGAAAGGCAGUGGAAACUGGGGAGCUAGAGUGCAGUAGGGGUAGAGGGAAUUCCCGGUGUAGCGGUGAAAUGCGUAGAGAUCGGGAAGAACAUCGGUGGCGAAAGCGCUCUGCUGGACUGCAACUGACACUAAAGGACGAAAGCUAGGGGAGCGAAUGGG